AGGAUCAUUACACUGAGCCAAUUUGCAGGUCCUUUGGGCUGCACAGGCUUUUGUCUCUCUUUCUUGAUCAAGGCAUUUAUUAUAGUGGAGGGCCCCCCCUUCAUUUGUUUAAAUGCCUUCCACGUUAAAAGUGGAUUGUGGUGAUUUGGGAUCAUCA
rnacentral:rRNA from 1 species